GGGUCAGUAGGUUGGUCGUGCCACCGGUACGUACUGGUCUCACUGAUUCCUCCUUCCUGAAGAACCGUGGUGCCAUUAAUUUGGUGUUGCGGGGAAACAGGACUGUUACUUUGAAAAAAUUAGAGUGUUUAAAGCAAGCUAACGCUUGAAUACAUUAGCAUGGAAUAAUGAAAUAGGACGAUCGAUCCUAUUUUGUUGGUUUCUAGGAUUGACGUA
rnacentral:rRNA from 1 species